UACGUAGGGUGCAAGCGUUGUCCGGAAUUAUUGGGCGUAAAGAGCUCGUAGGCGGUCUGUCGCGUCUGCUGUGAAAACUCGGGGCUUAACCCCGGGCCUGCAGUGGGUACGGGCAGACUAGAGUGCGGUAGGGGAGACUGGAAUUCCUGGUGUAGCGGUGAAAUGCGCAGAUAUCAGGAGGAACACCGAUUGCGAAGGCAGCUCGCUGGGACGUAACUGACGCUGAGACGCGAAAGCGUGGGGAGCAAACAGG
rnacentral:rRNA from 1 species